rnacentral:lncRNA from 1 species
GUCAGAUCCUGUUUGGCCAGGUGUCCUCUAUGGAGGUUUACUGUACUCUACUAAACUCUGGGUCAGAUCCUGUUUGGCCAGGUGUUCUCUAUGGAGGUUUACUGUACUCUACUAAACUCUGGGUCAGAUCCUGUUUGGCCAGGUGUUCUCUAUGGAGGUUUACUGUACUCUACUAAACUCUGGGUCAGAUCCUGUUUGGCCAGGUGUUCUCUAUGGAGGUUUACUGUACUCUACUAAACUCUGGGUCAGAUCCUGUUUGGCCAGGUGUUCUCUAUGGAGGUUUACUGUACUCUACUAAACUCUGGGUCAGAUCCUGUUUGGCCAGGUGUUCUCUAUGGAGGUUUACUGUACUCUACUAAACUGGGUCAGAUCCUGUUUGGCUGGGUGUUCCCUAUGGAGGUUUACUGUACUCUACUAAACUCUGGGUCAGACCCUGUUUGGCCAGGUGUUCCCUAUGGAGGUUUACUGUACUCUACUAAACUCUGGGUUAGAUCCUGUUUGGCUGGGUGUUCCCUAUGGAGCUUCACUGUACUCUACUAAACUCUGGGUUAGAUCCUGUUUGGCUGGGUGUUCCCUAUGGAGGUUCACUGUACUCUACUAAACUCUGGGUUAGAUCCUGUUUGGCCGGGUAUUCCCUAUGGAGGUUCACUGUACUCUACUAAACUCUGGGUUGGGUCGUGCAUAGCCGGGUGGUCUGCUGUGAACUCCAUAUGAACAAAGCUCAUCUUGAAUGAAUGUCUGAAAUAAUGCUUAACAGGAUGCAGGGUGGGGGGGCAUUUCCAUUUCCUCCUUGCUAAUAACUAACUCAUUGGAUUGUGAGUAAGCCUGCUUGACGAUACAUGAGUUACAUGUUUAACUGGUGUCCCACUCUACAGAAAUGUCACUACAGAUUUCACUCUACAGAAAUAAACUUUUCAAUGGGAUUAUUUCUCUCUAAAAUGAGUUUUGAGAUGUCUAAAACACUG